rnacentral:rRNA from 1 species
CUACGGGGUGCUCCAGUGGGGAAUAUUGGACAAUGGGGGAAACCCUGAUCCAGCAAUGCCGCGUGUGUGAAGAAGGCCUGCGGGUUGUAAAGCACUUUCGGUUGGGAGGACUGCUUCUAGCACUAAUAUUGUUGGAAGUUGACGUUACCUUCAGAAGAAGCACCGGCUAACUCCGUGCCAGCAGCCGCGGGGAAUACGGAGGGUGCAAGCGUUAAUCGGAAUUACUGGGCGUAAAGCGCGCGUAGGCGGCUAGAUCAGUCGGGUGUGAAAGCCCCGGGCUUAACCUGGGAACUGCAUCCGAUACUGUCUAGCUUGAGUACAGGAGAGGAGAGUGGAAUUCCACAUGUAGCGGUGAAAUGCGUAGAUAUGUGGAGGAACACCAAUGGCGAAGGCAGCUCUCUGGCCUGAUACUGACGCUGAGGUGCGAAAGCGUGGGGAGCAAACAGGAUUAGAUACCCUAGUAGUC